UCCGACUUCUCGUCGGCAGUCUCGUUAGAGUGCCCGGCUUAACCGCUGGCAACUAACGACGAGGGUUGCGCUCGUUGCGGGACUUAACCCAACAUCUCACGACACGAGCUGACGACAGCCAUGCAGCACCUGUGUCCUGGCUCCCUUUCGGGCACUCCUCCAUCUCUGGAGGAUUCCUGGCAUGUCAAGGGUAGGUAAGGUUUUUCGCGUUGCAUCGAAUUAAUCCACAUAAUCCACCGCUUGUGCGGGUCCCCGUCAAUUCCUUUGAGUUUUAACCUUGCGGUCGUACUCCCCAGGCGGUCAACUUCACGCGUUAGCUUCGUUACCAAGGAAUUGCUUCCCCGACAACCAGUUGACAUAGUUUAGGGCGUGGACUAC
rnacentral:misc_RNA from 1 species